GACGAACCGUGCGAACGUUAUUCGGAAUCACUGGGCUUAAAGCGCGUGUAGGCGGGCCGGCACGUCCGUGGCUGAAAGCCCCCGGCUCAACCGGGGAAGGGGCGCGGAUACGACCGGCCUGGAGGGGGGUAGGGGGACCUGGGAACUUCCGGUGGAGCGGUGAAAUGCGUUGAGAUCGGAAGGAACGCCCGUGGCGAAAGCGAGGUCCUGGACCCUUUCUGACGCUGAGACGCGAAAGCCAGGGGAGCGAACGGG
rnacentral:rRNA from 1 species